rnacentral:pre_miRNA from 1 species
AGAGAAAUAGCUGGGUCAAAUGGUGGUUCCAUUCUAAGUUUUCUAAGGAUUUUCCAUACUGCUUUUCAUUUUGGUUGCACCAAUUUUCAGUCCCAUCAGCAAU